AGAGAGAGACAUGCGUGCAUAUCAAUAAGCGGAGGAAAAGAAACUAACUAGGAUUCCCUCAGUAACGGCGAGUGAAGCGGGAAGAGCUCAAAUUUGAAAUCUUCAAGGUUCUACCUUGACGAAUUGUAGUUUAAAGAAGUGUUUUCUGUUGGAGUUUUGGUAAAAGUUCUUUGGAAUAGGACAUCAUAGAGGGUGAGAAUCCCGUAUUUGACCAUUAUUUCCAGCUUUGUGAUACACUUUCAAAGAGUCGGAUUGUUUGGGAAUGCAGUCCAAAAUGGGUGGUAAAUUUCAUCUAAAGCUAAAUAUUGGCGAGAGACCGAUAGCGAACAAGUACCGUGAGGGAAAGAUGAAAAGAACUUUGAAAAGAGAGUUAAACAGUACGUGAAAUUGUCAAAAGGGAAGCGUUUGACACCAGUGUUGUUUUCUCGAAAAUCAAUUAAAAAAGGCAGGAUUUUGCGUUGUAUUGACUUUAUCAGCUUUCUGCACUCUUUUCUUGUCUUUUUUAAUGCACUUUUCGUUUAACAAGUCAACAUCAAUUUCUUUUGUUGUAAAAGGGUCAUUGGAAGGUGGCUUUCUUUUCGGAGAAAGUGUUUAUAGCCUUUGGCCUCUGCAAUCGGAGAGAUUGAGGUCUGCAACGUAGAUCCUUCGGGGUUAGAUACAUUUGUGCUAAGUUAUAGCCUUUCAUAGACAACUUGUUGACUAUGAUCAGUCAUGUAGCUUACUCGCUUAUGCUAUUUUACCUACGCUUAGGAUGUUGAUGUGAUACUGCGAGCA
rnacentral:rRNA from 1 species